ensembl:lncRNA
CUAUUUCCAGGUCAGUUUUAAACGUCUUGUUUUUUCAUCUAAAAUGUGUAAGUGUAAGCAUACUUUUUUUUUUGCGAGUAUAUUAAAAUAGUUAAAGGGGCUGUCUCCUGUCCUUAACAUAGAAACAAUAUGCUAUUGUUCAGGCUCUACUUAUGAAAUCUAGGUGCAAGGCACGGUGCCCACCAAAAUCUCAUGAUUUAAGGAUACCAACUUUAAAAAGAAUCCCCAAAUUCAACAUCUGAAGGAAAAAACCUAAGAAAAUUAUAGACUAAACAGAAGACAACUGUAAAAUAAGUAUAAAUAAUAUCCUUGGAGAGAUUUGAGUGAAUCUAUCUUUAAAACUAAAUAUUACCGUGAAAUAGAAACAACUAUAGAUGUAGAAAAAUUUUAAACUAUUGACGGUGUUCAGGGCAGACCAUCCCAAGAUGAGCCAGUCUGCUAUGCAGAUUAUUUCGAGCUGAAAACAACCAAGGCUCAGAAGAUGCAGGAAGAACCUUUGACCUUCCCCCAAACUGCCUAAAAGAAUUUAAGAUAGAAGGCCUGUCCCAGGAAGAAACUAUCACCAUAAUAACUCUAGUAUAAUGUGAAGUAGGUGUGGUAGACAGGCAGAAACCAGCAAGACUUAUUUGAUCAAAGUUCUCUCUUGGAUCCCAUUGUCUUCACAAGGCAUGGCAAACAUUUGUUUACCAAAUAUUAACUCUUUUCACCUCCUGUAAGUUGCUUUCACCCCCUUUGAAGUCUCAGACCUCUAUCUCCUUCUUCUUGGUUCAGAAAGACUUAUAUACUUCAUUUUGCCUGACUGUCUUUUGAAUGCUUCAUGCUUAUGUGAAUUCCCCAUGGGCAGUGUCAACAAAACUCUCUGGAAUACAAGAAUUUAGUAGGAAAGCUUUACUGCUCAUACAGUUUCAAACCCAGAAGACGUGGCCUUAGGCAGCAAACCAAAAGUAUGCGCCAGGAGAACAAAGGAAGAGGGCUGUCUCAAAAAAAAUUUGCCAUCGAGUUUCCCACUCAGGUCUGCUUAUGCAAAUGAGGGAUGCAAGCCUCUUAGUGAUGAUUGGUUGUCACAGGUCACCGUUUUAUUGGUUAGGCCCAGGGGGCUGUUUGGGGCUUUUGUAAAAUAGGAACUUUGGCAGCGUCAAAGCUUAAGAACGCAUUCUGUGGUUUUCCUGAGAACAGAGUAUGUGACUGCAUCCCAGUCCCAUCAUGGCCAUUUGACUCAAUUUUGAUUUUAGGUUCUGGUUAGCCACAUAGAAUCCAUCUAGUUCUCAGGAGUUGUUUUAAUUUCAUUUUAUUCCACAGCACAUAUUAAACUUUGUUUUAUUUUCUCCUAUUAACCUGCCAUAAGAACCAGAAGGGGAAAGGGGGGGAAUUCUACCCUCCUCACACUAUGGUCCUCAAAAUAACAACCUAGAAACUGUUCAUUCUUGAAAAAAUGUGCCACUUCUCAUUCAACUACUGGGAGUUCACUAUAGUAGAUAACCAGUCCAAAGCUCCAACUUCCAUAAUCUUUGGUUGAUUCCUUUUUGAGGAUAUUUUGAGACCUUGAGCAAACAGGGACACUACCAAGAAAAUCGCUGCAAGUACUUUUCAUUUCGUUUGAAGCCUCUUCCUCUUACUAAAGUCAUACAGUGCUGAGCUCUCACCUUCUCCCUCCCUCCCUCACCUUUAUUUCUGACACAUUCUCCAAGUAGUUUUCAACACUGAAUGAAAAAUGUUGAAGAGAAAAAGACGUGCUCAUUAAGACUCUGGGCUGGCAGGAUAGCCACCACCCCUGCUUCCACAUCUGCCCCUUAGCAGAAUGGUACAAAGUUUAAAGCAUCAGGAAAAUUUUUAAAAGAUUGAAAAAUUAACUCUUUCUAGUUUUAGGGGCAUAACCUUAUCACAAGCAAAUGAGAGAUAUUUCACCCAGGCCUCCCACAAAGAUUACAAGGACUCAAAAUUCUAAAUUUCUUUUACUCACAGAGAUGAGUUAAUAGUUUUAGAAUUUUAGGCUCCUUGUGGGCCAUGGAGCUGAAUCUCCCCUAAGGGAGGAAGCUGAAAAGUAGUACUGGGAGGCUGGCCCAUUUGUCUGUUAAACACUGUAGGCACAGAGCCUGGGGCCCAUGAAAAUGUUUUAAGUUUAAUUUCUCUUAAAAUUAGAAGGAAAAAAAUGAAUAUAACAACAACAAAUACAGCUAGGAUUAUAGCAGUCUUUAUAAGAAUGCAGUUGUAAGAUAUGAUUUUUAAAUGUGUUUUAUGGAGGAAGGAGACCGCCAAAGUCCUAAUGCAGCCCUGACUGAGAAGCAGCUUUCCUGAUGCUCUAAGGGUGGACGGUGGUUUUGGAGGUCUUCAUUGGUAGUGAACACUGGACUCAAGAAGGCAUAGCACUCCACAGGUGCCAGGAUGGGGGUCAGAGGCAGGAGGAGUGGAUAGCAGCAAGUUGGGCUUGUCCACUUCAGGCAGGACCAGCAUCCAACAGCACCUGCAUGUAGCAGAAGGAGCAAGCAGAAUGACAGUACCGCAAGUUAAAGGUGUGGUCCUUGGAGUAUGAGACUUCUCCACAUUCCACCUGCCAGGUUGGGUAUAACCCUCAGGACCCUGAAGAAAGAGCGAGAUUCAGACUUCCCACCAACUCUAUCAGGUCAUAAAAACUCCCAGAAGAAAGGUACCCUCCCUGUACCAGGAGGAAGGAAGACAUUCUUCUCACCAGAGACCAGGAAUUUGCAGCCAAGAUAUCUGUAUAAACAAACCUUAUUAAACUAACCUUUAUCAUCUUAGUUACUAAUUCAUCAUUUACUACCCCUAGGCCAAACCCCUCUGUCUUGUCAAUUCUUCACAAAUGUAUUAUUUUUUGGUCUAAAAGGUGUAAAAGCUCCCCAUUCUGGUCACUUUUUCAGGUCUUCAUUCUCUUGUGAAGGCUCCCAUGUACGUGUAAAAAUUCAAUAAAAU